GGUCGUGGUUAGUGUUAUUUAUUAUGGUAAUAUCCAUACCACUGAUUAGUGUUGUUAUGGUAAUAAUCCAUACCACUGGUUAGUGUUAUUAUGGUCUGGAUUUGUUAUUAUGGUCUGGUUAGUUUGUUUGGGUAAUUCCAGACCCCUGUGUUAGUGUUUUAUGGUUGGUUAGUGUUGUUAUGGUCUGGUUUUGUUAUUGGUCUAGUUAGUGUUAUUAUGGUAAUAUCUAGACCCCUGGUGUGUUAUUAUGGUCUGGUUGUGUUAUUUGGUCUGGUUAGUGUUAUUAUGGUACUAUCCAGACCCCUGGUUAGUGUUAUUAUGGUCUGGUUAGUGUUGUUAUGGUAAUAUCCAUACCUCUGGUUAGUGUUAUUAUGGUCUGGUUACUGUUAUUAU
rnacentral:lncRNA from 1 species